UCCCAAGUAGCUCAAACGGUAAAGAAUCUGCCUGCAAUGUAGGAGAACUGGGUUCAAUCCCUGGGUUGGGAA
rnacentral:tRNA from 1 species